rnacentral:misc_RNA from 1 species
GGAUCAGCGUGUGAGGAAUUCGGAAUGAAGAAAAAUGAAUCCACUACACUAAGUUCAAAAUUCAGGGACAAGGCUCGAGAAACCAUACAAUUCACACAAAUUCAGUGAAGUUUGAACUGAAGUCGUUAACCAUGCUACGACCUAUCUUGUCCCCAAUAAAGGAGUGCUUUGCCAAGCAAUUAUUCAUAAAGAUUAUACAUUGUGUUUUAUGCUCGCCGAGAUUUCAAACAAUUCAAGCUUUCUUGCACUGCUUCUCAAGCCACUCCAUGGUGAUACUCUUUGGCCUCUCUAGCGGCAAUCCAAGAGCUCGGUCCCAAAUUAGCUGAGAACAAAUGCCAAGAGCUCUUGAUACGCCAAAGAGGACAGUAUAAUAUCUUGCUUCAGUUAAACCA